ensembl:lncRNA
AAAAUUCAUUAGCUUUUAAAAAUACGCAUUAUUUUUCUUUGAAAGAUUUUUAUAAAAGAUUUAAAUGCUCUUUACACGUUUCUACAACAAUUAUUUAAAAGUAAUCCUAAAGCGCCAUCUAGUGGUGGCCAUGAUUGGUAUUACACACUGCACGUUUGGUGUUGCUCUCUGAACCGGUCAGAAUGAAGCGCGGCUAAAUGAAGCGUGAGAACAGAAUACACUGGGCAUAUGUCUACGUAACUCCAGGUUCACACACUCUGUUUGUAAUGCGUAUUUUUUCCGAGCCCAUGUUAAUGGAUCAGAGCGUUCACACUGCACACGGUAAAAGAUGUGAACAGAAAAGGUUAGAAAUAGAAAGGUGCGAAAAGAAUGAGUAUCUAGCGCAUGAGCAUAGAGAGUUGUGAGUGCACAGGACACAGUUUGAGCAGAGGAAACUCGUUUUAAGUGCGCGCACUGAGCGAAAUCAGCAUGUAUCUGAGCACGCGUGUCUGGUUUUAAGCGUGCCAACAGA